AAGAGAUUAGUUAAAAUUAUAACUUUUGUUUGUCAUACAAAGAUUAUCUUAUGGAUAUCUCUUA
rnacentral:tRNA from 1 species